CCUACGGGAGGCAGCAGUGGGGAAUAUUGGACAAUGGGGGGAACCCUGAUCCAGCCAUGCCGCGUGUGUGAAGAAGGCCCUCGGGUUGUAAAGCACUUUCAGUGAGGAAGAACGCCUGGUGGUUAAUACCCAUCAGGAAAGACAUCACUCACAGAAGAAGCACCGGCUAACUCCGUGCCAGCAGCCGCGGUAAUACGGAGGGUGCGAGCGUUAAUCGGAAUUACUGGGCGUAAAGCGCGCGUAGGUGGCUUUAUAAGCCGGUUGUGAAAGCCCCGGGCUCAACCUGGGAACGGCAUCCGGAACUGUCAAGCUAGAGUGCAGGAGAGGAAGGUAGAAUUCCCGGUGUAGCGGUGAAAUGCGUAGAGAUCGGGAGGAAUACCAGUGGCGAAGGCGGCCUUCUGGACUGACACUGACACUGAGGUGCGAAAGCGUGGGUAGCAAACAGGAUUAGAUACCCUUGUAGUC
rnacentral:rRNA from 1 species